rnacentral:rRNA from 1 species
UUGAAGUUAGUGGCGGACGGGUGAGUAACACGUGGGUAACCUGCCUCACAGCUGGGGAUAACAUCGAGAAAUCGAUGCUAAUACCGAAUGUGCUGAACAUCAUAAGAUGUUCAAGUGAAAGACGGUUUCGGCUGUCACUGUGAGAUGGACCCGCGCUGGAUUAGCUAGUUGGUAAGGUAAUGGCUUACCAAGGCGACGAUCCAUAGCCGACCUGAGAGGGUGAUCGGCCACAUUGGGACUGAGACACGGCCCAAACUCCUACGGGAGGCAGCAGUAGGGAAUCUUCGGCAAUGGACGAAAGUCUGACCGAGCAACGCCGCGUGAGCGAAGAAGGCCUUCGGGUCGUAAAGCUCUGUUGUUAGAGAAGAACAUGGGUGAGAGUAACUGUUCACCCCUUGACGGUAUCUAACCAGAAAGCCACGGCUAACUACGUGCCAGCAGCCGCGGUAAUACGUAGGUGGCAAGCGUUGUCCGGAAUUAUUGGGCGUAAAGCGCGCGCAGGCGGUCUCUUAAGUCUGAUGUGAAAGCCCCCGGCUCAACCGGGGAGGGUCAUUGGAAACUGGGAGACUUGAGGACAGAAGAGGAGAGUGGAAUUCCAAGUGUAGCGGUGAAAUGCGUAGAUAUUUGGAGGAACACCAGUGGCGAAGGCGGCUCUCUGGUCUGUUACUGACGCUGAGGCGCGAAAGCGUGGGGAGCAAACAGGAUUAGAUACCCUGGUAGUCCACGCCGUAAACGAUGAGUGCUAAGUGUUAGGGGGUUUCCGCCCCUUAGUGCUGCAGUUAACGCAUAAGC